rnacentral:rRNA from 1 species
CUACGGGGCGCAGCAGUGGGGAAUAUUGCACAAUGGGCGCAAGCCUGAUGCAGCCAUGCCGCGUGUAUGAAGAAGGCCUUCGGGUUGUAAAGUACUUUCAGUCGUGAGGAAGGUGGUGUUGUUAAUAGCAACAUCAUUUGACGUUAGCGACAGAAGAAGCACCGGCUAACUCCGUGCCAGCAGCCGCGGUAAUACGGAGGGUGCGAGCGUUUAUCGGAAUUACUGGGCGUAAAGCGCAUGCAGGUGGUUCGUUAAGUCAGAUGUGAAAGCCCGGGGCUCAACCUCGGAACUGCAUUUGAAACUGGCGGACUAGAGUACUGUAGAGGGGGGUAGAAUUUCAGGUGUAGCGGUGAAAUGCGUAGAGAUCUGAAGGAAUACCGGUGGCGAAGGCGGCCCCCUGGACAGAUACUGACACUCAGAUGCGAAAGCGUGGGGAGCAAACAGGAUUAGAUACCCCUGUAGUC